GACGAACGCUGGCGGCGUGCCUAAUACAUGCAAGUAGAACGCUGAAGGAGGAGCUUGCUCUUCUGGAUGAGUUGCGAACGGGUGAGUAACGCGUAGGUAACCUGCCUGGUAGCGGGGGAUAACUAUUGGAAACGAUAGCUAAUACCGCAUAAGAGUAGAUGUUGCAUGACAUUUGCUUAAAAGGUGCAAUUGCAUCACUACCAGAUGGACCUGCGUUGUAUUAGCUAGUUGGUGGGGUAACGGCUCACCAAGGCGACGAUACAUAGCCGACCUGAGAGGGUGAUCGGCCACACUGGGACUGAGACACGGCCCAGACUCCUACGGGAGGCAGCAGUAGGGAAUCUUCGGCAAUGGACGGAAGUCUGACCGAGCAACGCCGCGUGAGUGAAGAAGGUUGUCGGAUCGGAAAGCUCUGUUGUAAGAGAAGAACGAGUGUGAGAGUGGAAAGUUCACACUGUGACGGUAUCUUACCAGAAAGGGACGGCUAACUACGUG
rnacentral:rRNA from 1 species